rnacentral:rRNA from 1 species
UACGGAGGGUGCAAGCGUUAAUCGGAAUUACUGGGCGUAAAGGGUGCGUAGGUGGUUGUAUAAGUUAUCUGUAAAAUCCCUGGGCUUAACCUGGGCAUGUCAGAUAAGACUGUACGACUCGAGUAUGGGAGAGGGUAGUGGAAUUUCCGGUGUAGCGGUGAAAUGCGUAGAGAUCGGAAGGAACACCAGUGGCGAAGGCGGGUCUCUGGGCCGAUACUGACACUGAGGAGCGAAAGCGUGGGGAGCGAACAGG